GCUUACACAUGCAGUCGAGCGGGGAGGGUAGCUUGCUACCUGACCUAGCGGCGGACGGGUGAGUAAUGCUUAGGAAUCUGCCUAUUAGUGGGGGACAACAUUCCGAAAGGAAUGCUAAUACCGCAUACGCCCUACGGGGGAAAGCAGGGGAUCUUCGGACCUUGCGCUAAUAGAUGAGCCUAAGUCAGAUUAGCUAGUUGGUGGGGUAAAGGCCUACCAAGGCGACGAUCUGUAGCGGGUCUGAGAGGAUGAUCCGCCACACUGGGACUGAGACACGGCCCAGACUCCCACGGGAGGCAGCAGUGGGGAAUAUUGGACAAUGGGCGAAAGCCUGAUCCAGCCAUGCCGCGUGUGUGAAGAAGGCCUUUUGGUUGUAAAGCACUUUAAGCGAGGAGGAGGCUACCGAGAUUAAUACUCUUGGAUAGUGGACGUUACUCGCAGAAUAAGCACCGGCUAACUCUGUGCCAGCAGCCGCGGUAAUACAGAGGGUGCGAGCGUUAAUCGGAUUUACUGGGCGUAAAGCGUGCGUAGGCGGCUUUUUAAGUCGGAUGUGAAAUCCCUGAGCUUAACUUAGGAAUUGCAUUCGAUACUGGGAAGCUAGAGUAUGGGAGAGGAUGGUAGAAUUCCAGGUGUAGCGGUGAAAUGCGUAGAGAUCUGGAGGAAUACCGAUGGCGAAAGCAGCCAUCUGGCCUAAUACUGACGCUGAGGUACGAAAGCAUGGGGAGCAAACAGGAUUAGAUACCCUGGUAGUCCAUGCCGUAAACGAUGUCUACUAGCCGUUGGGGCCUUUGAGCUUUAGUGGCGCAGCUAACGCGAUAAGUAGACCGCCUGGGGGAGUACGGUCGCAGACUAAAACUCAAUGAAUUUGACGGGGG
rnacentral:rRNA from 1 species